UAGGCUGAAACUACGCCUACAUGAAGCUGGAGUUACUAGUAAUCGCAGAUCAGAAUGCUGCGGUGAAUGCGUUCCCGGGUCUUGUACACACCGCCCGUCACACCACGGAAGUUGGGGCGCCCGAAGCCACUUAGCUAACCCUUUUGGGAAGCGAGUGUCGAAGGUGAAAUCAAUAACUGGGGUGAAGUCGUAACAAGGUACC
rnacentral:rRNA from 1 species